GGUAGUCCACCCCGUAAACGUUGGGAACUAGUUGUGGGGACCAUUCCACGGUUUCCGUGACGCAGCUAACGCAUUAAGUUCCCCGCCUGAGGAGUACGGCCGCAAGGCUAAAACUCAAAGGAAUUGACGGGGACCCGCACAAGCGGCGGAGCAUGCGGAUUAAUUCGAUGCAACGCGAAGAACCUUACCAAGGCUUGACAUACACCAGAACACCGUAGAAAUACGGGACUCUUUGGACACUGGUGAACAGGUGGUGCAUGGUUGUCGUCAGCUCGUGUCGUGAGAUGUUGGGUUAAGUCCCGCAACGAGCGCAACCCUCGUUCUAUGUUGCCAGCACGUAAUGGUGGGAACUCAUGGGAUACUGCCGGGGUCAACUCGGAGGAAGGUGGGGAUGACGUCAAAUCAUCAUGCCCCUUAUGUCUUGGGCUUCACGCAUGCUACAAUGGCCGGUACAAAGGGCUGCAAUACCGUGAGGUGGAGCGAAUCCCAAAAAGCCGGUCCCAGUUCGGAUUGAGGUCUGCAACUCGACCUCAUGAAGUCGGAGUCGCUAGUAAUCGCAGAUCAGCAACGCUGCGGUGAAUACGUUCCCGGGUCUUGUACACACCGCCCGUCAAGUCAUGAAAGUCGGUAACACCUGAAGCCGGUGGCCCAACCCUUGUGGAGGGAGCCGUCGAAGGUGGGAUCGGUAAUUAGGACUAAGCCGUAACAAGGUAGCCGUACCGGAAGGUGC
rnacentral:rRNA from 1 species